CUCUCCGUUGCUGACCCCAGGUUCGAUAGCGCCAAUUAGGCGCCACCUCGCCAAGAACCAACUUCGGUGAAGCGACGGGCGGUGUGUGCAAGGAG
rnacentral:rRNA from 1 species